AUGAUGCCUUUUUAUCCACCGUUAGUCUAGCAAAGCUCAGAAAGAAGUUUAACUUGGAAAACUUUUCCUCAUAUAUAUUGCACACUAUGAAUGCAACAUAGAACUCAUCAUAAUAACCAAGAUCCUUAUGUUUGUUGAAUUAAAACCACCGAAUUAUGACUGAGCCUACUCCAUCGUCAAAAAAUUAAUAAGAUCAAUGAUGUAAAUAAGAAAUUAGUUUAUAAUUUAUCUCAUGGAAAUGGCUGCGCACAUGAUAUUCAUCUCUAUUCAAUUUAUGUUCCAGCAAUCUCCAAUCCGACCAUAAAUAAAAAAUGCAUCACAAUGGCCUUUAUUAUUGUAAUAUCUGAACAAGUCGAUACAAACAAAACACUUACCC
rnacentral:lncRNA from 1 species